GAAUUAAAAAAUUAAUUUUGAAGUCCCCAAAAUAAGAAACAGAAAAAAAAACUGUUUUUUUUUAUAUCUGAUUCUAAUUUGGACUCAAACUUCAAAUUUUUAUUUUAAUUUUAGAGUCAAAGUUUAAGAUUAAUUCUAAUUUUAAAAUUUUAAGUUUAUAUUUGAAUUUUUAAAUUUCAAAUUUUGAUACAAGAUAAAAUUUAAAUUUGAUGUUUUAGAUUUUAACAUUUAAAUGUAAAAAUUUAAAAAUUUAAAAUUUAAAAUUACAAGUUUUAAAUUUCAAAUUACAAAUUUCGUUAUGAUUGAAUAUUAUAUAGGUGGACGCGUAUGAUAGGCUAAGGGAUAAGUAUUCUGAUGAGAUAAUAGGUGGUGGAUAUUUUCCGUGAGAAAGAAAAUAUUUAAAAUACGCGUAGAUAGGAAAUAACGGAGGUAUGAUAAAAUAUGAUAUUAAGGGUGCGUUUGGUUCGCGCUAUCUUUUAAAGAUUCCUAGUAAUCCAAUGGGAAUAAAAAAUUAUGACGGUGUUUGGCUAAAUGCACUAAGUAAUCUAGUUGGUAAUAUUGGAUUCACUUGGGAAUAAGAUUCACCCCAAAGUACUAAUCUCAUUCCCUUGAGAGAGGGUGGGUAUCCUCAUAUUAAUGGAUUGGGGUAAUCAUAAUAUGUCUAAUCUCUUUCUUUCUUCCUACCCGUCGGCUAAUUGAUAUUAUUUGUCUUUACACUCUAACCUUAUAUCUCUCUCUAAACUUAUUUUUCUCUUAAUUAACUUUUUUUUCUCUCUCAUAAACUAACUUUCUCUCUACUCUCUUUUUAAAAUUUUCAAUCUCGUCACUUCCCUCUAUUUUGACAUAUUGGUUAUCUAUUUUUUUAAUAUGCUCUCCUCUCUCUAACUGAUACUCUCUCUCCCUUUCUUCUAAAAAGAUAUUUAAAAACUUGUUGGAGUAACAUUAUCUAAAAUUAACUUAAAUUAAUUUAAUUAAUUAAUGUAUAUUUUUGUAAUAUUAAAUAAUAUGCGUAAUUAAUAUUCCUCGCGACCAAACAUAGAUUCUGCAUUCUUCAGUAAUACGGAUGAAUAGGAAUAUUCUCGGAUAUACUUUGUAUCCUAUAAUCUUUCACUAAUGCAACUAAACGCACCCUAAUGUUAAGGUUAUUAGAAGCAGAGUACUGUUUGUUGCUAUUAGGAGCACACGAUCCCCUAUAUACUAUUACUUGUUAACACCCAACCACCCAUGCAAUUGUGAUGGUGGUUAGAAUGAAAGAAGGAGGAGAUAUUGGGGAGAAAUGGUGUGUUUCAAUUUCUCUUCUCCUUAAAUUUCUCUCAUUCUAACCACCCAUCAAACUUGAUGGGUGGUUAUAAAGUUAGAAGCACAAGGGUUGCUGUACUCCUAAUAGCACAGUAGCCCUACUCAGGUUAUUAUUAUCACAAAAAAAAAUAUAUACUUUCAUUUUCAAGCGUUGGAUAAAAUUUAAUGACAAAAUUUAAUAUCUAUAUGUUUGGAAUUAAAUUAUUAUUUAAUUAUUUAAAAUGAAUGAUUCAAAAUAACUAGAUAUGCAAAUAUUACUUAAAAAAAUAAAAAUAUUUCGGAAAGAGAAAAAUAAAAGCAAAACUCAUAAUUUUAUAAGUAGUAUAGAUAAAAGGUAAGAUUUACGACUAUAAAGUAGGUGUGUAGGUGGCAUUUCUCUAUUAAAAAACUAUAGAAAAUAAAAAUUACAAAAAUAAAUAAGUUGGCCUGUAGCCUGAUGUGGCACGUCUUGGGCCUGUGGUACACAGGCCAUGGGCCUUGCAGGGGCUACUGGCCUUGGAAAGAGUGAAACCUAUUUGGCAUGGUUUAUAAAUGUUUGCUAGUUUUGUCAAUACUCCUAAAAACGUAGCAUAGUUAAAUUAUGCUACACAAGUAAAAGAAUUAUCUUAUGAAGCGUUUGAGAGAAAAAAAAAAAACUAUAAUUUUUAGAGUAUAGUUAAACUUUACUCCAAAAAAUAGAGUAAAUUAUAAUCCACGCUAACUAAAUGAAAAGAAUUCCAUCAUUCUUAGGCAAAGAUGCAUCAAGUUUUAACUUUUAAAUUUUAAUAUAAAAUUUUCAAUUUCAACAUAGAUUUUAAAUUUUAAAUUUUAAAUUUCAUUAUUUAAUUUAUAUUCAAAUUUUUAAUUUCAAAUUUAAAAUUUGAAUUCUAAAUUUUAAAUAUCAAAAAUUAAAUUUUAUAAUUUCAAAAUAUAAAUGUCAAUUUUAAAUUUUAAAUUUUCUAAUUUUAUAAAUUCAAAUUAUAAUUUUCGAAUAUCAAAUUUUAAAUUUAUUUUACAAAUAAUAAAUUUUAAAUUUUAAAUUUUCUAAUUUAUAAUGUUAAAUUCUGAUAAUCUCAAUUUUAAUUUUCAAUUUAAUUUUUAAUUUCAUUUAAAUUUCGUUUUAAAAUUCAAAAUUUAAAUUUUAAAUUUUAAAUUUGUAAAACUUUUAAUUUAUAAUUUCAAUUUUUGAUUUUUAAAUUUAUUUUUUAAUUCAAAUUCAAAUUCAAAUUUAAAAUUUCAUUUAUAAUUUUAGUUUUCAAAAUUCAAAGUUUAAAUUUAAAAUUUACAUUAAAAUUAAAAUUUAAAAUUAAAAUUUAAUUUUAAUUUUCAAAUUUCAAAUUGUAAAUUUUAAUUUCAAUUUCAAACUUUAAUUUCAAAUUUUAGCUUCUGAAUUUUAAUUUUAGAUUUAAUUUUCAAUUUUCAGUUUUCAAAAUUUCAAAUUUCAAAUUUCAAUUUCAACGUUAAAUUUUAAAUUUCAAAUUCUCAAAUCUCAUAGUUCAAAUUUCAAAUUUGAACUUUGAAAUUUAAAUUUAUUUUUUAAUAUUUAAAUCUAAAUUCAAUUAAAAUUUAAAUUUCAAAAUUUUAAAAUUCAAAAUUUUAAAAUUAAAUUUAGAUUUUUAUAUUUUAAAUUUUUAAUUUUCAAAUUUGAAAAUUUGGAAUUUAAAAUUUAAAAUUUCACAUUUCACAUAUCAAAUUUGAAAUUUGAAAUUUCAUUGAAAUUCUAAAUUUUAAAUUUUUACUUUUGAUUUUAAAAUUUAGGGAAAUCCCGUGAAAUUUGCACAAUGCGCAUCCAAACCGUUUAAAAAUUGAAUCCGUAGACUUUAGAGUUACAGGAUUCUCUAUUUCAUUUGGACCAAAACCACAGUUUAUAAAUUCCGUGGAGAUUUUUUACUGUGCAUGUCACGCCCCGAAUUGCUCGUUUUUUCGGGCAUGCCAACAAAUCUGCCGUAUGCAAAGAAAUUUUUUUGUAUACGAAGCGAUAGGUGUACCUGUACCUGUAAUUAUACAAUACUACAAGCAGUAGUAUAGAACUGCUAAAAAAAAAGAUAUGUAUAUAUUAACAUCGGUUCAAUAUACAUACAUAGUAUCUAGAUACAAAAAUCACUCACUCCAGCGUGGAACUAACAUCAGUAUGUAUAAAAACCAAAAACCACAACUACUUGUAGCUGGUAUAACUCUAGAUCAGCAGCAAAACGGAAAAGGAUCUAGCUCGUGACUCCCUUUCCCCAAUCAGUAUUCGCGACAGCAGCAGCCGAAGAAGAAGGCUCUGCAAAAAGAUCCACUACUGGGUGUGAAAACUACUGCAAAACAAUUAGUCCUCAGUGGGUACCGCUACCGACCUCAACGGCUCACCCAGUACAGCUAUAUGCUACCAUACUAUCACUAAUCAACAAUCUGUAGGUAUGAGAAUGCAGUGUCUAACCCAAAUCUCACUAGAGAUUGUGAACACACCCGUCCCGCCUGUCGAAGCAACACUAACUGCCACCAAGCUGGGUCGUCAGUGGAGCGCAAGUCCAACCAGGAUAAACCGACAACAACGCAAAAUCACAAAGCCCGACUCCGGAGUGGCACUCCUGGGCACUGCACAACCGAGUAUGCAAGCGUAUCUCUGCCGAGCUCAAUCAGGCUCUCACAAGCUAUAAUCAAAGUAGAAAGAUCUAGCUGGUCUAACAACUAUAAUCCACGUGCCCUUAGCACAAUCCGAUGCAAAAAUAGCAAUCUGGGUCCACCGUCAAGUCCAACGGUACCCGACAGUCCGUAACAGUCCAUACAUUACUGUAAAAAAUAAACUCGGCAUCCCAGCACGAGCGUAAAUGCAUUCUACACUAUUCUGGGUAUCCACCGCCCACGAACUGCGGCGAUACAAACAAACUACGGCUCGUAGAGCUAAAUCUGAUAGUUUCAGAAAAUGACGGUAUAGAAUCAAUAGUUUUCUCUUAAGUCAAUUCCAAGUCCAACACAUAUAAUUUAUCUAAAUCACUACUUUAUGCUUCAAAUUCAGAUUUUAUUUACCAUGCAAAUCAACGAAUUCGAGCUAAUUAACAUGAUAUACAAAGACCAAAAUACAUGCUGACAUCAACUAGGCUUAGGAGGAAAUCCGAAAAUUUCGGUAGCUUAACAUCAACCCAUCUCUAGCGCGAGUCCGGCAAGGUUAGAAAAUCGCUGGAAGAAGCCCUACCAAGCUCAGCCACGAACCAGCACAAACCACUCUAAGGGUCUAACACAAGAACACCAAAUUUGCAUCAAUGUCCUCAAAUUUCAGCACUUAAACUUAAAUCCUCCAAUUCCAACGUCAAAACUCACCUUUCAAUCUUCCAAUCCACAAUUCAUAUGGGGAAAAGUCUCAAAACCAGUAGAAAAAGAUGGAGCAACAGCCUCUGGUCUAAAUCCCAACUUCCUCCAAAGAUUGAAUCAAAAAAAUCAAGAAAAUCUCAAUUCCAGCUCAAAAACACCAAUAGUUCAGAAAAAUACAAAAUUGAUCAAACAAAUCUCAAUCAAUUGUUGUCGAAUUGGCCUCACGAAAUCUCCAAGAAGUCUACUAACCACCAAACCAAGUUUCGCAACAAUCCGAUCUUCCUACGUCGCACAUGAGCCAAAAUACCGAAGGUCGCUGCUUGAAAUCUGCUGGAGCUGCAGUCCUCAAGGUGAAAUUAUGAAAUUUGGAGAAUUUAGAGGGGCUUUGGUGCAAAAUAUGGGUUUCUCUGUGAAGGAGGGUGAAAAAGCUUCUCAGAGGGUCAAUCACAAGCUUUUAUAACGGGGUGAAUAGGUAUAACGAGCCCCAGGAAUAAGAGAUGCUAACCUGCUGUCUUGCAGGAACGAGCACUUUUGGGCGCCCGAAACCAACAAAUGGGCGUCCGAAUCCUCCAGGCCAUACAACACUCCCUCAUCGGUUCCUUCGCCGGCGGUCUGUUACACCCUUAACGUGGUCUGGCGCACCCCACCUACCACCUUACACGUGUCAAAGCAAACGAUAAUUCCAAGGUGAACAUUCGGGGCCCACUUCCAGGCACCUGAAACCAGGAUCCGAAUUGGCUUCCAGUUCCAAUUCAAUUCAGCACUCAAGAUCUGGGUGACCCAAAUCAUGUUAUGGGCGCCCGAAACUGGCAAAACUCCAGUUUUGCUCAUUUGAGUGCUCCAAGUCCGUUUCUGCAUCCAUUUUGUGCAAAAACAACUCCGAUUCAGUCUGACACUCUCCAGAUGUGUCGACCAGCCGCUAAAACUGUAGUCAAUCCGAUACCAAACCCGAGGGACACUACAGGGCAUCCACCGCGUUUAGUUUAUACAGUCUGUAAUCUGAUCGAUAUUAUAGCAUUAUAGAAAGUAUAGAAUUAUUUCGAAACUAUUACAGAGCGGGAUGAUGGAUUUGUUAUAUUGUCGAUGACGGGUUACUUUCAUAUUAUGUAACAUUACAAGCUUGCCUCUCUAACCUCCCAAAACUGUUUCAAUACGUCAGUUUUAAAAUUUUAAUUUAAAGUUUUGAAUUAUCAAAUUUGAAAUUUAAAUUUUAUAUUUCAAAAUUUUAAAAUUUAAAAUUUAAAAUUUAAAUUUAUAUUUUAAAUUCUAAAUUUAAAAUUUAGAUUUCAAAUUUUAAAAUUUAAAAUUUAAAUUUAAAAUUUAAAUUUAAAAUUUAUAUUUUUAAUUUCAAAUUUUAAAAAUUUAAGUUGUGAAUUUUAAAUUUCAAAAUUUUCAAUUUUCAAUUUUAAACUUCAAAUCUAUAUUUAAAUUCUAAAUUUAAUAUUUAGAUUUCAAAUUUUAAAUUUUAAAUUUAAAUCUAAAUUUUAAAUCUUAAAUUUUAAAUUUUUAAACUUCAAAUUUUNAAUAUUAAAUUUUAUAUUUGUAUUUAGAUUUUAAAUUUAAAAUCUAAAAUUUGAAUUUUAAAUUUUAUAUUCAAUUUUAAAUUAUUUAAAAAUAAAAUUUAGUAAAAAAUUAUUAUUUGUAAACAAUGACAUUUUUUUGCCAAAUAUGACUAAGGAUAAUUUUAGAAUAAAUUACAGUUUAUUAUCACAAUUACUGAAUUUUAUAAAGUGAACCAAACGUAAUAAUUUUAUAUACAUUGUAAUCCAGUAUUAUAUUAUUGUAUUAAACCAAACACAAUAAUGUAACAUCAGUAGUAAUCUAAUUAAAAAUCUUAGAUACUUGAUUAUGUUGAAAGGCAAAAUUACAAAAAACCUCCUUAUCAAAAUCCGAUUUUUCAUUUUUCCUCCUGUCAUUUAAAAACUUAUACUUUGCCUCAUUGUAAAAUAAAAAAUGUUCACAGAGGGGUACAGUGUGUACUGUAAUGAUAAAAUGACCAUUUUGCCCUUCACUAUUUUCGUCUCCUCUCUCAUUUUCCUCAACCGCCGCCUCGAUCGGCCGUGGUUCACGCCUCGAUCGGCCGCGAUUUCUCUCUAUUUUCUUCUCCACUUGCUCCCCUUCUUCUCUUGCACCCUCCCCGCUUCUUGAUUUCGGCGACAGUAGGGAGGAAAUCGAGAUGGGCGUGGAUGGAGAGGUGGGCAACGGCAAUGAGGGCGAAGACAAAGCGGCGGAGGAGGGUGAAGGGGUGUUUGUGGGCGCGGACGGGGAUGUAGGCGAGGGCGAAGCAGUGGAGGAGGACGAGGCGGCGAGGCGGAGGAAGGCGAAGCAACAGGGAAGAAGGCGGAGGGGUAUUUUUGGCAUAAAAAAUUAUUUUAUAACAGAACCCUAACUGACCACUAACGGUAGGGGGUGAAAUGCAAAUUUUUCAUCUUACAAGGGGGCAAAGUUUAGGUUUUUAAAUGAUAGGGGGGAAGUGAAAAAUCGCGUUUUGACAAGGGGGUUUUUUGUAAUUUAGCCAUGUUGAAAUAAUGUGUAAUAUUAUAUAACGCGUACUAAAAGCACUAUAAAAAAGUCAUAUUUUCGUGUGAUGGAUGGCAAAUAGAACUGAUGUUUGGGAUUGUUCUCAUCAAAUACUGUUAUUUAUUCCAACUCUAUCUGCAUGAUAUAGAAUAUAUAUAUAUAUUUUAAAAACAGUUGAUUGUGUAGGAUCCCUGGUGUUCUGCUACCGUGAGAUUUCAGCAUCUGAGGUUCGUCGACACAUCUGGAGAGUGUCAGGACAAGUCUGAGUCGUUUUGGCGCGAAAUAGAUGCAAAAUGGACUCAGUGUGACAUGAGAGCAGGAAUUUUAGCAUUGAAAUCUGCAAAUUGCAGGUUGUCAACAUUGAGUACCGGUACUACACAGGGGAGUACCGGUACCCCAGUCCAAUUUUCUGAUUGCUGCUCUCAGGUUGCGAAGGCUGAUGCGGGGUACCGAUAUGGCAUCGGCCUGAUACCGGUACUCCAGGGUAGGUGAGGGGCCUUUGGGUCUUUUGAUGCAUCGAUCAUUUCACCCUUAUCUCCCACCGCCUAUAUAGGAUAGAGGAUUAGAGAGAGAGCUUUUGUUUGCUCUUCCCUCUCUCUCUCUAGUUUGAAGUCGUGCGCUUAGUGGAGGUCACGGUUGGAGCUCGAAUCGACGUCGGCUUUGCGCCGGGAAGCCGUUUGAGCGCACGAGCGUCGUAGUUGCAUUGUUGGGAGGCUGGGCGAGCGCGUGGUUCCUCUCCUGUCGACUUCUCGCCGGAUUUGGAUUAUCUUUUCGAGGUGGGUUAAUGCUUACUGAAAUCGUCGGAUUUUCCUACUAAGCCGGAGUUGACAGCAUGUAUUUUCAGUUUUGUAUAUUAUGUUUAGUAAUUCGAUUCGUCGAUUUGCAUUAUUUUUAAAUGAACUCUGAAUUGGAGCUUUGAAUGCUAUUUUUAUUAUACAUGUUGGACUUGAAAUUAACUUAGGAGAAAACUAUAGGUUCUACAUUAUCAUUUUCUGAAAACUACUAGAUUUUGUUUUAGGAGCUGUAGUUUGUUUGUAUCGCCGCAGUUUGUAGGCGGUGGAUAUCCAGAAUAGUGUAGAAUGAAUUUAUGCUCGUGCUGGGAUGCCGAGUUUAUUUUUACAAUAGUGUAUGGACUGUUCCGGACUGUCGGGUGCCGUUGUGGUUGACGGUGGACCCAGUUUGCUGUUUUUGCAUCAGAUUGUGCCGAGGACAUGUUGAUUAUGGUUGUUAGACCAGUUAGACCAUUCUGCUUUGAUUAUAGCCUGUGAGAGCCUGAUUGAGCUCGGCAGAGAUACGCUUGCAUACUCGGUUGGAUAGCGUCCACGAGUGCCACCCGGAGUCGGACUUUAUGCUUUUGCGUUGUUGUCGUUGUAUCCUGUUUGGACUCGCUCUCCACUGACGACCCAACAUGGUGGUAGUUAGUGUACCUUCGACAGGCGAGACGGAUGUAUUCACAGUCCCUAGUGAAAUUGGGUCAAAAAUUAUAUUUUUUUUCUACAGAUAGUUAGUGUAGGAUCGUGAUAGUAUAUAGGGGCAUAUAGCUGUAGAGUUUUUUAGCUUUCUUUACUAUCCUUGAGCAUACUUCUGUAGACUUAGUGGGUGAGCUGUUGAGAUCGGUAGCGGUACCUACUGAGGACUACUUCUUUUUGCAGUAUUUCUCACACUCAGUUGUUGACCCCUUUUUGUAUAGCCUCCUUCUGCGGCUACUGCUGUUGCUGAUCCUGAUCGUGGAAAAGGAGUUGCGAGCUAGAUCCCUUCCAGUUUUGUUGCUGCUUUAGAGAGUACCACCUACAGAUAGUUUUGGAUUUUGGAUAAUGUACAUACUGAUGUUUGAUCCUUGCUGGAGCGAGUGAUGUUGUAUCUGGAGACUAUGUAUGUAUGUGAACCCGAUAUUUUUUUAUAUAUGUUUACCGUUCUGUUAGCAGCUCUAUACUAUUGGUUGUAGUUUUGUAUGAUUAUAGGUAUAGAUACAGCUAUCGCUUCGUAUACAGAAAAUUUUUUUUUUGUAUAUGGCGAAUUUAUCGGCGUGCCCGGAAAAACGAGUAAUCUGGGGAGAUUGGUUUAGAGUUAUAAAUCUAUAUUUUAAAAAUUUAAGAAAAAAAAGGGUAUUCAAAUACGAAGGGAAGAAAAUUAAAUUGGGAGUGUUGGGGAGAAAGCGCUUGAUGUGACCUUGUCUCAACAUAAUGUUUGAAAUGAAAAUGAGAAAUGAAAUCCUGUCUAUGCUUUUGAUUUAGGGCACGUGGUCUUCCGUAUAUGUUUAGAUGGACCGGAAUUCGCUUACAAAUUUUUUAAAAAAUAAUUUAAAAAGAUAUUAGCCAAUCACUCAUCCACUUGUAAAUCAAAGGAAAAAAGUACCAAGAGGGAAAACAUUCGAUCCGGGAAUAAUAUCUAUUUGUUUCAUUAGCUUUCUCCCAUAUGGAAAGAUUAUAUAUAUAUAUAUAUAUAUAUAUAUAUAUAUAUAUAUAUAUAUAUAUAUAUAUAUAUAUAUAUAUAUAUAUAUAUUCGGAUUAUCCAAUCCAUAUUAAUAAGUUUUAACGGGUAGAUGCUUUUUCUAGCGGUACCCCAUGCGAAUGAAUAAAUUAUAAAGGAUGGGUGGUCUUUCUAGUGGUAGAGCAGUUAGGGAUGCCUCCGCACCAUAUUUUAUCGGGCAUCCUUUAGAGAAGAGAAAGAAGAAUGUUUCAAUUUAUAAAAUUAUUAACUACUUAGCAAUUGAUGCGGAUCUACGUGCCCUUCCUUAUCCAAUCAAAUUAAACAAAUUCAAAUUGCACGCAUUGCAACGAACAACUUCACCCAUUUGACUAACUUAUGUAAUCAAGUAAUUCUUUACUUGAUAUCCCCACAAACUCUCUUUUAAUAGUGUUCAUCAGUAAACACGUACAGAGUUGUUGUUACUAUUAAUGACAUAUUCACACUGUUUAUUUUACGAGUCCUCAUUUUAGAUAAGGCUACGUAUAUAGAGACUAGAAACACUAUAAAAAUAAACUUAGCUAGAAAUGUGAAUCAACUAGGAUUUAAACUUGCGUCUCGGGUACCAAUCAUCAAGUCCUUUGCCACUUGCUCUAGGAUCUCUAAAGCAAGUGGCAAAGGGCUUGGUGGUUGGUACCCGAGACCCAAGUUCGAAUCCUAGUUGAUUCACAUUUCCAGCUAAGUUUAUUUCUAAGCGGGUAGCGUGCUACCUAUCUCUCAAAAAAAAUGAAACACUAUAAAAACUAAAGUGAUAAAUGUAGAAAAAAUGUUACUAAUUAGAUCAUCUAAAGUUUGCAAAGUAGUUCAAUUAAUUCUUUUUCUUAAACAAAGUUAGUAAUUAAACAAACAAUCGUGCUAGUAGCAUAUCUUACGCAACAAAUUAGGUACAAAAAUGUUUGGAUGUGACUAGAUCGGGACCAUUUAAUACAUACUAAGUGUGCAAUAUUAUAAGUAGGGCUGGCAAAUGAGCGAGCCGGCUCGCGUUCGACUCGCGUUUGACUCGAUAUUUGGCUUGCUCGAGCUCGACUCGAAAUUAAAUGAGCCGAGCUUGAACAAAAAAAAAGGCUCAAAAUUCAUUUCAAGCCGAGCUUGAGUAUUACUCGGCUCAUUCGAAUUAGGCUCGAAAAGCUCGAAUAUAUAUAUAUAGUAGAGCUACUAUGCUAUCGAAAGUAUAGAGAUAUGGCGCUUUCAAUUUUUUAAUUCUUAGAUCAAUCCCUUUAAUCGUUUCUUAUCUUUGGAUUAAUAUUAUUAUUACCUUGUAGGGACCACUCAAUCCUAAGAUAGCGUUUGGUUAGGGGAUAGGGAUAGGGAUAGGAAUAGGCCCUUAUCCCCCUUUAUAUCCAAACGCUAAUUUUUUAUCCGAGAAUAGUAGUUCUCGGUUAUCCCCACCAACGCCUCCAUUUUUUAUAUGAAACUAUCUAAAAUUGUUCUUAUCUCCAGGAACAACCUAAUUUUCAUCCAAACACUAUUUUUUUUAUCCCCACAUUUGUAUCUAUCCCUGUAAUAGCUAGUUCUUACUUAUACUCGAACCAAACAGUACCUAAGAGUAUUAUUUAAUUCUAGGGGAGACCGCAAUCAUCCCAACCAUAUAAUUUUUAAUCAAAGGGUCAAAAAUUCAAAAACAUCAAAUCCUCUAUAUUUUGGAUAGCAUAGUAGUUCUACACUAUGCUAUAUAAAUAUAAUAUAUUUUAAUUAUAUAUAGGCUGAGUGAAUAAUAUAUAAUUAUGUAUAAUAAAUAUAAAUUUAUAAUAUUAUUUUAAAUAUUAUUUAAUAUAAAUUUAUAAUAUUAUUUAAGAAAAAUAAUUUAAAUUUAAAUUCAUCUGAGUUUUAAUUUCAAAUUUUAAAUUUAAUAUUUAAUAUUUAAUAUUUAAAAUUUAAAUUUAAAACUAUAAAAUUUAAAAACUUUAAAUUUUAAACUAUAUAAUAUAAAAAAAUUUAAAUUUAUACUAGAAUUUAAAUUUCAAACUUUAAAUUUUAAAUUUUAAAACUUAAAUUUUAAACUCUAAAAUUUAAAGUUUCAAUUUUAAAAUUUAAAUCUUUAUAUUUAAAUUUUUAAAUUUUUAAGUUUAAGUUUAUAUUAUUCUCCUAUUAUAGUAAUAAAAAAUAAAUGUUUUAGGUAAUAGAAAGAAUAAGGUAGAAUGGAUUGGUUUGCGAAAAAAAAAAAUAAGGUCCUUAUUGGGUUAGAAGUAGGUUUGCGUUUUAACUAGAUUAAGAGCGAAUAUGGAGUUAAAUAUGGAUAGGGACCUUAUCGGUGAAAAAGAAAUAGGGGCUUGGUUUGCUAUGGAAUCCCAUUCUCUAUCUUUUUCUCUUUUUCUCUUUGUAUAACUUUUAAAUCUCGAGACACUUUCUUUCUUUCUUUCUUUCUUUUUUAUAUAUUUAAAUCAUUUUCAAACGAGAAAAUAAACAGAUAACCCAAACAAAAAUACCCGGUUGUUAUAACCGAGUUAAAAUUGAUUUGAGUGNAACCAUAUAAUUUUUAAUCAAAGGGUCAAAAAUUCAAAAACAUCAAAUCCUCUAUAUUUUGGAUAGCAUAGUAGUUCUACACUAUGCUAUAUAAAUAUAAUAUAUUUUAAUUAUAUAUAGGCUGAGUGAAUAAUGUGAGUUUAGUUAAAAUUGAGCCAAUAUUGUUGGCCCAUAAAAACAAACCCAAUAGACAAAUAAAAGAGCAAACUUUUACUAAAUUUAUAUAUUUUUUCUUUCUUUCUUUCUUUCUUUCACAGAGCUCUAAAUUUUCAAUAUGUUUCUCUUUUUCUCUUUUUCUAUCUCUUACCCUAAGGUAUCGUUUGGUUCGGGGAUAAAGAAAAAGUGGCUAUUCCAGGGAUAGGUAUAAAUUGAGGUAUAAGCGAGAAUUAGAUCAAUUUUGCGUUUGGAUGAAGAUUGGGUUAUUCCUGGAAUAAAAAAAAAAAGCGUUUGGUUAGGUAAGAUGGAAUAAGAAAGAUAAUGGAUUUUGUAAAUAAAAAAUAAUGAUAUUAUCCUCUUAUUAUAUUUGAAUUUGAAUUUUUAAAUUUUUAAAUUUAUAUUUCUAAAUUUAAAAUUUUAACUUUGAAAUUUAAAAUCUCAAAUUUUAAAUUCAAAAUUUUAAAUUUUAAAUUUCAAACUUUAAAUUUAAGAUCAUAUUUAAAUUUAAAAAAAUAUAAUAUAUCAAAUUUUAAAUUUCAAAAAUUUAAAAUAUCAAAAUUUAAAUUUAAAAUUUAUAAUUUAUAAUUUAUAAUUUAAAUUUUAAACUUUAAUUUUGAGAUUAUAAAUUAUAAAUUUUAAAAAUUUAAAUUUUUAAUUUUUAAAAUUUUAAAAUAAGAAUAGUGGUGGGAACAAUUAAUAAAAAUAAUUUAUUAUAAUAAAUUUAUAAAUUUUUUAAAAAUUCUACUUAAAUUUAAAUUUAAUAAAAAGAAUUUAUUAUAAUAUUUAAAUAUAAUUUAUUAUAAAUUUUAUUAUAAUAUUUAAAUAUAAAUAAUAUGUAUUAAUAUAGUACAAUUAAUAAUUUUAUAAUAAAAAUAAUGUAUUAUAAUAUAUAACAUAUUAUAUUUAUAUAAUUUAGUUUAAUUCAAUUUAUAAGUUUAAUUAAGUUUGAAAUUAAGCAUUGGAAUAGCACUAUUCCACCAAAAUGGUGGAAUAACAAAUCCCUUGCUAUUCCGGGAUAACCGAGAAUAGCAAGGUUUGACCGGAAUAAAAUAUCCCGGCCAAAUUUCACCCCGUUUGGCGGAAUAGCGGGGAUAACUUUCGUUAUCCCCGCUUAUCCUGCGAUCCAAACGGGGCCUAAGUGGCCAAGCUGGAAGCUCUCUAAGUUACCAAGUAAUAUCAUAUGCCCGCCGUUGCCUACCUUGCUAUUAAUUGUAUGCUUGAGAAAAUAUACAGAAUAUUUUUAAAGUAAAAAAUUAUUAUUCAUAUAAAAUUUUAAUUUUAGUUAUAUAUGAUUGGAUAGUUUAAUCCAAUAUUUAUCUAUAUAAUUUAUUUAUUUUUAACUGCAUAAAUGAAAAUGAAUAAUAUAGAGAUAGAUGGCGGAAGAAAAGACAUGUAAGGCUGAAAAAAUUAGAUAUUCAACUCAUAAAUUUUUUUUUUUUCAUAUUAUGAUACUAUAUUUCAUAUAAUUAUUUUGUACUUUGAACUAUUAGACAUAUUUUUUAAUUAAAUUAUAGAUAAUGUUCUAUACAAAUUAAACUAUUAAUCGUAUAAUGUUGAGAAUUUCAAGCGGCUCGUUUAGGGCUCGAGCUCGCUCGACUUGAAAUUAGGCUCGCUCGAGCUCGGCUUGAAUUAAUUUCAAUCCAAGCUUGAACUUAAAUUUAGACUCGAAAUUAAUUUCAAGCUGAAUUUGAGCCGAGAUAAGCUCGCUCGAGCUCGGCUCAUUUCCACCCCUAAUUAUAAGGGGGGAGGGAAAUUGGGCCUCUUUCUUCUUGGAAGCAUGGUUGAUAUAUAUAUGUGUUCAAAUAGCUUAAUAUGUGAGACUACUACUUGCAGGUUGUGAGAGAGUUUUUGUGAUCGAGGUAUUUGCACACAAUCUUGUAAAAAAAAAAAAGAAAAGUGGGAUGGUAAAAGAGGUUUAAAAUGAGAGCUUAGAACUAGAAUUGCUCUCUAUAAGAAGGAAAGUUCAUAUAAAUUCUCAAUAAAAGUUUUGCCCCACCAUCCCACCCAAAAAGAACAUUUGGUGAGGAUGACUGACUGUCCCUAAAGCAAGUGGCAAAGGGCUUGGUGGUUGGUACCUGAGAUCCCUUGGUUCAAAUCCUAGUUGAUUCACAUUUUCAGCUAAAUUUAUUUUUAAAUAAAAUAAACGAAGCGGGUAGCGUGCUAUCUAUCUCUCAAAAAAAAAAAACAUUUGGUGAGAAUGGUUGAUCCCCAACGGUGAGAUUGUCCCAUUUGUUAUUUGCACAAUUUUGAGAAUCGUGUCGUCCCGUAAUAGAGUAAUAAAGAGGUAAUCAGAUAGACUCACAUGAGGACUACCCCCACUAUUUCUAUACCAUAUCCAAUUCAAUCUAGGAGAUGUAGCUAAGGUAAUUGUUGGAAAAAUUCAAAAUUUUCUAAUAUAUAUUUUAUUUAUUUAUAUUUAUAUAUUUAUUAUUUUGUUGUUUAGAGCCGUUUGGAAUCCGAGAGUGGCGCGGACGUUACGCGCCAUAGUGCGCGUCGUCAGGCGUGAAAGCGCUCGAAGGCGUACUUUCCGGAGCCGAACGUUGGAGUCCAUCUCGUACUCGCCUUAUACAUUUAGCCCUUGUUUGGUUGGGGGUUAAGGGGUGGAAUAACCCCUUAAUCCCCAUAUUAUCCUCAAACAUUCUAAAAAAUGGGUGGGGUUAGCUAACCCCAUCUCAAAUAAAUUAUCCCGGAUUAGCUAAUCCCAUCUAACCCCACCAAACUCCAACCAAAUAUUAUUUUCUAUUCAUAAUAACCCACUAUCUUUCUUAUCCCACCUACUCCAACCAAUCAUUAUCCUUCUUUAUCAAUCAUUAUCUUCUUAUCCUACUUACUCCAACCAAACACUAUUUUUCAUUAUUCUAGACUAACUCCAACCCCCAACCAAACACAAAAAAACUUAACCCCACUUUAACCCUGAACUUAACACUAUCUCUGGAAUAGCUACUUUUUCCUUAACCCCGAACCAAACGGAGGCUUAGAUGUUGUCCUUCACCUUUACACAGGGGAAUGAAAAGGACAAAAGAGCACACAGAGAGAGCUACUAAUUAAUUAUAUUGAGAGUUGAUUUAAUUUAAUUUUUAUUCAUUUUAUUUGAUCAUUUUAUCGCCGGGUGUUGAAAGAAGCUUCGUCAACCUCCUUCACGAUCGUGCUCGCAGGAGGAGGAAUUCCGAUCGUACCUUGGGGUGUUGUUCCCGGUUAAUCCCGCACGUAAGGACGGGAAUACGCUUUAGGGCAGUGCCUCGCACGCUUCCGGAUCAAAUUUUCUAUUUGAAUUUAGCAAUUAUCUGUAAGUUGUAUUUAUUUACUUUCAUAAUAAAAUUUAAUUAGAUUUAAAUCACAAUCAGAUUUUCGUUGCGGUAUUUGUUCUAACAGUAAUUUCCAUCUAAAAAUAGUUAACCGGAAAAAAAGAAACACUAAAAAAUUUAAAGUGAUAAAUGUAGAAAAAAUAUUACUAAUUAGAUCAAAACUCUACAAAGUAGUUCAAUUAGUUCUUUUUCUUAAACAAAGUUAGUAAUUAAACAAACAAUCGUGCUAGUAGCAUAUCUUACGCAACAAAUUAGGUACAAAAACGUUUGGAUGUGACUAGAUCGCGACCAUUUAAUACAUACUAAGUGUGCAAUAUUAUAAGGAGGGAGAGAAAUUGGGCCUCUUUCUUCUUGGAAGCAUGGUUGAUAUAUAUGUGUUCAAAUAGCUUAAUAUGUGAGACUACUACUUGCAGCCUUGCAGGUUGUGAGAGAGUUUUGUGAUCUUGUAAAAAAAAAAAGAAAAGUGGGAUGGUUAAAGAGGUUUAAAAUGAGAGCUUAGAACUAGAAUUGCUCUCUAUAAAAAGGAAAGUUCAUAUAAAUUCUCAAUAUAAGUUUUGCCCCACCACCCCACCCAAAAAGAACAUUUGGUGAGAAUGACCGACCGUCCCUAGAGCAAGUGGCAAAGGAUUUGGUGGUUGGUACCCUAGAUCCUAAGUUCGAAUACUAGUUGAUUCACAUUUUCAGCUAAGUUUAUUUUUAAAUGAAAUAAACGAAGUAGGUAGCGUGCUACCUAUCUCUCUCUUAAAAAAAAAACAUUUGGUGAGGAUGGUUGAUCCCCAACGGUGAGACUGUCCCAUUUGUUAUUUGCACAAUUUUGAGAAUCGUGUCGUCCCGUAAUAGAGAAAUAAACAGGUAAUCAGAUAGACUCACAUACAAAUAGGAUAGGAUUCCCCGUUUAAUCAAAAAAAGAUAGACUCACAUGAGGACUACCCCCACUAUUUCUAUACCAUAUUCCAAUUCAAUCUAGGAGAUGUAGCUAUGGUAAUUUCCAUCUAACAAUAGUUAACCGGUUCAGAAUUAUAUUAGUGACAUUUUAAGCAUUUGAAGAUCUAAAAAUAAUUAACUAGAUCAGAAUCAUAUUAGUGUGAUUGUAAACAUCAGAAUUAUAUUAGUGACAUUUCUUGAAAAAGAAAAGGAAAGAAAAAUGUUAUUCCCGCAACGUAGGUGGGAGAUUGUUUAAAUUUAUAAAAUUAUUUAAUUAUACGUUAUCUUUGAUAUUACCAUAUUAUACAAUUUUCCUCUUUAUACAACUACACUAAACAAAAGCUUGACCCACUCGGCUUGCUUACCUAAUCUAAUAAAAUUGUUUACUUACCGAUUGUCUCUGGCGCAAAUGGCAAAAAACUUAGUAGUUGGUAUAUAUCUAGGGUUUCGAGUUUGAAAUGAAAUAAACAAAAUGGAUAGCAUGCUACUUAUUUCUCAAAAAAAAAAAAAUUGUUUACUUCAUAUAAUACCAGUUUUACCGGCAUAUAUUAGAAUUCUUUUUUUUUUUAACCCUAACAAUAUAUAUAUAAUAGAGCAGGGCUGCUGUGCUCUCAGGAGCACGGAGGCCUCCGUGCUCCUGAGCCGUUUUCGAUGAUGAAAUUUUCGAAUCGACGAUCGGCUCUGUUAGACUUGAUCUAGGGUAUUUGAAGUUUCUAGAAAAUAAUUUUUGUAAUUUUUUGAUAUCAUUUAUCUACUGAUCGAAAGGAUUCAAAAUUAAUAAUUUUUAAUUGUUGAUAUCUGCCGUUUUCAAGUUUAACGGUGCAGAAGUAUUCAAAUCAGAUGAAAUUUUGAUACAAAAUUUUUUAUACUAUCUACAACAAGAUCAAUAUUUCUGAUCGAAAAAUUUAGUGCUAUAUCACUACUUUUUAUAGAAUUUUUAUUUUCAGCUGUUAAAAAUUAUUGAUUUUUAAUUCUUUCGAUUGCUAGGUAAAUGAUAUCGAAAAAUCGUAAAAAUUAUUUCUAGAAACUUCAAAUACGCUAGAUCAAGUCUAACAGAGCUGAUCGUCGAUUUGAAAAUUCCAUCAUAAAAAACGGCUCAGGAGCACGGAGGCCUCCGGCUCCUGAAAUCACAGCAGUCCUGCUCUCUCUCUCUCUCUCUCUCUAGUAUAUAUAUAUAUAUAUAUAUAUAUAUAUAUAUAUAUUACGUUCUUCCCUCUCUGUGGGAUUGUGGGAUCGAAGAAUUAUUAAAAUCUCUAAAUUAGCUAGAUUAUGAUGGGACAGGCACGAUGUUGGGAAUGUCGAAUUCCUAGCAUUCGUGCCGUAUGGAAAGGGAGUAUAGUUGGUCUUUCACAUUCGAUAAAAUAUGAAAAAAAUUUAUAUUUUAAUUUUUAAAUUUGUUGAAAAAUAUGAUAUAAAAAAAAAGUUUGCUAAUUAUUUAGAUAUACGAUUUAUAAAAAAUUAUACGUUUAUCAAUUAAAAAUUUGAAAUAAAAAAUUCUGCUAUUGAACUAAAUUUUUUUUUCUAGAUUUAUUCUAGUAGUAUAAUUAAUUAUAAAUUUUUAAAAAUAUAAAAAUAGAAAACUAUAAAAUAAAAUAGAUUAAGUAAAAAUAGAAAUAAUAAAAUUUAUUGUCGUCUCCGUCAUCUUUUUUAUGAUUCACAUAUUUUGUAAUUUUAUAAAAUUUUUGAAUAAUUCAUAUAUAGUUCAGCAAUAGUUCACGAAUAAUGAAAAAAAAAAAAAUCCAAAGAUUCUGUAUAUAUUUUUUGACCAAAUAAUUCGGCAUACUCAAAUUAUUCACAGAUAAUAAAUCUAAUCUAAAAUUUUAUAUUUUAUUUUAAUUUUUUUAGAAAUAAAUCGCCGUUAUAUUCAAAAUUUUAAUACUUGGCAAGUAAUUGGCAAGUCAACGGGCAAUGGAUUAGAUCGGAGGACGCCACGGAGGAUCUGCUGAAAAUGAUAAUCACUAGCCAUCCCAUUCUUUCAUUCCUUCCGGGAGUGGGCGGCCGGACCACUCCAACGGUCGCUUAUGCCCACGCGUUUUGGCGUCACUCCCCACCAUUUCCGCUAACACUCUUAUUCAUAAAUGACGAGCCCUACACGAAAGCAGCGAUCGAGCUUAUCAUCGACACCCCUAACCCCAACCGUAACCCCGGAGCGUAAUGGAGAGCGGAGGAGGAGGAGGAUGUGGAGGGGCGAAGCGGUGGGGGUUCCGGCCCAACGCCGCGGCGGCGAGCGCGGCGACGUGGAGCGUUCGGUAAAUAAUACGAAACAAUCGUUUAUAUCUAAAACCUUACAAAACUGCCGGAGAAUGGUGUUUUAAGUAGCUAUAUUCAACAGCGGGACCCUCAACAAGAUCCGCGCCGCCGUCCCCGCCGGCGACGCGCGCGUGGCGAUCCCCCUCGGCAACGGCGACCCCUCGCUCUUCGCCAGCUUCCGCACCCCAGCCGCUGCCGAGGACGCCGUCGUCGCCGCAGUUCGCUCUGCCCAGUUCAACUGCUACGCCCCAGCCGUCGGCAUUCCCUCCGCGAGAAGGUGAAUCCCUCUCGCUCCUUUGUUCUGGGUGUAAUGCUAACAGUUUGAUAAAAUGCACGGUAAACUUUAAUCAGCCUCUACUGUAUGGUUUCACGGAUUUUCUUAGUUAUUACUCGAAAUUGAUAAUCGAUUUCAGUUCGGAAUUUCGACUCGCUAACAGUUUCGCGGUGCGAAUAAAUUAAAAAAUAAAAUUAUGAUUAAAAUAAAAUUAAAAAUUAAAAAAUUAAAUUCAAAUAUAAAGUCACAAAUUUGAAUUUAAAAAGUUUAUAUUGAAUGUGAAUUUACAAAUAAAAUUCGGAGUGUGAUCAUGAUUUUAAUCCAAAUUUAAUGUGUAAUUUAACUUUAAAAAUAAAUUCAAAGAUUAAAGUUACGACCAAAUAUAUAUAUUCUCUUAGCUAAGCUUUUAAUUUUUGGUGAAUUCCGUAUUUUUUGAGCCGAAGUCAAAAAAAAAAAAAGAUUUUAUUAUAAUAUUUUUAUUAGCCUAUUUUUGUAAAGUAAUUUUUAUAUUCACUUUUGCUAACCAAACAACCGAUAAGAAAUCACUUUUUAAAAAUAUAAUUUUUAAUAUUUUAUUUUCGACCAACCAAACAUGCAUUCGUUGUAAGUAAAAAGCAGAAGUGAGACCUCACAUGCGUUUAGACUAUUGCUAUAUAUAGCGUGUAAUAAAUGAUUCUAUGUUCAUUGUGCUUUUUAGGUGGCAUUCUUGUUAGUGAAAUAACUAAGUUUUGUGAAUAAGUUUCUAUUACACCUUUUGUAGCCAGAUUAUUGGGUGCAGUGGUGAUGGAUUUGACUAACCAAGUUGACCUUUUGACUGUUUGUUACAUAUAUGGAAAAACUACUGUUCCUUCUAUAUAUAUUGUUUCUUCUUUUUCUUUUUCUGAAAUUUUUAUCUCUAUUGUCGAGAGCGGAGCUAUGCAGGGACUGAUGGGGGCCAUGGCCCCUCCAAAUUUUUAUAAUUUACAUAAUAGUCUUAUAUAAUAUAAAAAAAUUUUAAAAAAUAUUUUUAUUUAAUUUUAAAAGUAUGAUGAGUAACUUAUUUUUUAAAAAAGUUUUUGGCGCUAAUAUAGUACUCCCUCAACUUCGAGUUUUUUUUUAAUUUUUUUAUUUAGCACUUUCAUAACUUCUAAUUAUUUUAGAUAAUUUUUUAUUUAAUUAAAUUAAAGAUUAUAUAAAAGUUAAUAGUUAUGUCAACUAAUAAUUNUGUGUAAAAUAAUAUAAAAAAAUAAUUAGAAGUUAAGUAAGUAUAAAUAAAAAAAGGGAAACGCCUUUUUACACUAAUUAUUUAGUCAAUAUAUUUUUUCAUCAAAAAUUUGAUCAGAUAAAUUUUAUUUAUUUGUUAAAAUUUUAAUUUGUAUAUAUUUUGGCUCCCCUCGUAGCGGAGUGCUAGCUUCGUCCUGAGAAUUAAAAUAGACUAUUGUAGCUUUAAAGAUUCCAAUUAAUUUAACAAGUUUCUCAUUAUGGUAUCUGAGUUUUGUAAUUUCAAAUUUUUUAAAAAAAUUCUUUUGAUAUAUCAUGCGGAUUAGCUAGUGAAAAGUGAAAGCAGUUUCUUUGAUCACCUAUAUAUGUUUACUUUGUUGAUCGAAACACAGUGCUAUUGCCGAAUACCUCUCUCGCGAUCUUCCUUACAAGCUUUCUUCUGACGAUAUAUUUGUAACCGGAGGAUGCACUCAGGCCGUUGACGCCGUAUUCUCAAUUCUUGCCCGUCCCGGAGUGAAUAUCUUGCUUCCGAUGCCUGGAUUUCCUUUGUACGAGGCACGAUCUGUCUUCAGUGGUAUCGAUGUUCGUUAUUUCGACCUUAUCCCGGAGAAAGGGUGGGAGAUUGAUCUCGAAGCCGUGGAAGCCCUUGCGGAUGAGAAUACGGCCGCGAUGGUCAUUAUUAACCCCAAUAACCCUUGUGGAAAUGUGUUCACUUACCAGCACUUGGCUAAGGUUAAUUAGAUGUUCACGCAUUGUUAAUGUUAGUCUCUUUCCAUUUGUUCCCGUUAUCUCGCACAAGUUAAUUGUUGGUGUGUUGUUCAACUAUUGAUCAGGUUGCUGAGACCGCGAGUAAGCUUGGCAUUAUGGUUAUUGCUGAUGAGGUAUAUGAUCAUUUGGUCUUUGGAAGUAAUCCUUUUGUGCCAAUGGGAGUUUUCGGAGAGACGGUUCCGGUCGUCACCUUGGGUUCUAUAUCUAAAAGAUGGGUGGUGCCCGGUUGGCGACUUGGUUGGGUCGCAAUAUGCGAUCCUAAGGGCAUUCUAAGAGAAACUAAGGUCAUUCUCCUGAUCCUAACUUUGGCAAUUAAUGUUGCUCUUAAUUUACCUCCAUUUUUUCAAGGCCUUUCUAAUCAGAUAAAUAAUUUUGGAUAGGCAACAUUUUGUUCAUACAGGCAAAAUAAUUCUUCGAAAUUAAAGAUGUUCUUUUAGUAAAGUUUCACUUAAAUACAUGUUGAUUGGAAUAAGUUAUUUUCUGUGGAUGUUCUUUUAUUAAAGUUUCAUUUAAAUUUGUGAAUUUUUGAUAUCACCUGGUCUUCAUGUAGAUGAUGAUACCAAAAUUUGUGAUUUUUUUGUAAAUUUGAAUGCCCUACAAAAAUUUGAAUGCCCUAGAGUCAGUUUUGAGGCUGGAUUGAUCAACAAGUAACUUGGUGCUUCUAAAAGCGUCCUUGCUACUCUCUCUUUCUCUCUUCAUACAUGCACGUAGAUAUGAAUGAAACAGGCCAUAUCUAUUUAUGAAAUGUUUUCUUACAUUUGUACCAGGAGCUACUUAAUUAUCAAUUGUAAAAAUGACAAAAACCAUAUGGGAAUUUUGUGCUGAACUCUGGCCAAAUAACAAACAAGAAAGAUAACAGCCUUUUGAGUAAACCCAAAGACUUGUUUGGUGGGAAAAAUUGUUACCUUAUUAAGUUUGCUACAGAGAGUAACAGACUAUACAUGUCCCCAAAAGUGAAAAUGUGCUUUACCUACACCUUCUACAUGUUAUUUGGUUUUUAUUUGCCGAUAUAUCAUGGUGAUGUUCUACAAAUUCCUUAUUCUGUACAGCGGCUGAACAAAUUACAUAUUAUUUAGUAGUUAUGCUUUAUGCUAUUCAUCGAAAUAACAAAAAAAUAUAUAUAUAUGAAGAAUUCUUCCCUUCAGGUUGUGGAUUCUAUAGCAAGCUAUCUUAACAUUUCAACAGAUCCUGCGACUUUCAUUCAGGUAAAUGAUGAUAUCUACGUCCUUAAAGAUGCUUUGUCAAUGAUGGCAUGAUGCUGAAAACAAUUUUCUUUUUCAAUACUUCAUUUUGUAAAGAAUCGCAAAUUUGAUCUAUAUCUCUGUUGCGGCUGUUUUCCAGGGAGCAAUUCCUCAUAUCCUCGAGAAUACGAAGGAAGAUUUCUUUAAUAAAAUUAUUGCUCUCUUAAGGGAGACAGCAGAUAUAUGCUACAAUGCAAUAAAGGAGAUCGAAUGUAUUACUUGUCCUCACAAGCCAGAGGGUUCUAUGUUUGUUAUGGUAAGGAAAAAUCUGAACAAUAUAGUACUGUAAAAGUUAUUUUCAAGCUGAUAUCAUGUAAUGCAGGUGAAGCUGAAUAUAUCUUGUUUGGAGCAUAUACAUGAUGAUGUUGACUUCUGCAAAAAACUGGCCGAAGAAGAGUCGGUGAUAAUCCUGCCAGGUGAUUGAAUUGAUAGUUUUAAUCAAGUCAUUGUUUAGAAUCAGGUGUCUUCAGUGAAUGCUCAGUUUAUGAUGAGUCAUUUUUUUAACUUCUUUCAUUUUCAUUCCUUUGGUUAAACUAGGAGCAUUUUAUGUUCCAGGUUAAAAUCUACAUCUCAAUUCUUCGAAUAAUUAUAUGGUUGUGUUAGCUCUCAGGAAUCAUGUAAAGCUACGGUUAAAUAGGCAUUAUCCAUAUUACUUUCUACGUUCUGUUAAGAUACUAGUUAUUCCUUAAGUGUGAUUCAUUUCCUUCAACUGAGAGAGAAGAACUUGAAUUUUUUUUUGAGAGAAAGGUAGCAUGCUACCCGCUUUGUUUAUUUCUUUUAAAAAUAAACUUAGCUGGAAAUGUGAAUCAACUAGGAUUUGAACUUGGGACCUCGAGUACCAACCACCAAGCUCUUUUGCCACUUGCGCUAGGGAUGGUCGGUAAGAACUUGAAUUUUUAUUCUUGCAAAAUUUGCGUGCUUUUAUUCGUAAAUAUUUCUUGACGGCAUUAACAAUCAGAAUGAGACAUUUAUUCAGGACUCAUCUUGGUGAAAAAGAGUAAUACGAGUUAAAUAUGUAUUAGCGAAACAUUGGGAAAUUCAACUGGUGCAUUUAAACAAAAGCUCAUUGGUAGAAAAUCGUUAUUCAUGUUUAAGUAAUGACUCGAUGGAAGCUGUCUUUUAGUAUACAAGUUAACAUGAAUGCAGAUUAUUUGCUGUGUAGCAAUUUUGUUGAACUCCACUCUCCGUGCUCAAAUUGUUAUUUGAAUUUUCCCUUGUUUGCCAUAAAUUUGUUACUUCUUGUGUAAAGAUAUUUGUACCACAGUUAACUUCUUGCGGAGAAAUUAGUGGUGGGUGCAUAUUUUGCGCAGGAAGUGCAUUGGGAAUGAAGAAUUGGCUUCGCAUCACUUUCGCCAUUGAUCCAUCUUCUCUUGUAGAUGGUCUUGGCAGGCUUAAAUCCUUCUGCCGGAGGAAUGCAAAGCUGAGGAAUUGAGUGAAUAACUUGUUCAAUAAGAGCUAAUAAAGAGGUGAUCUGCAGCUUCCCGUUGGGUCUCUCUAUCUCUCUCUCUUAGAAUUUGUUGUUGUGUCUUGUCAUUUGGAGUUGCUAUGUACAAUGAACUAAUAAAGAGGUGAUCUGCAAUUUCCAGUUGAGUCUCUCUAUCUCUCUCUUAGAAUUUGUUGUUGUUUAUUGUAAUUUGGAGUUGUUAUGUACAACGAACUAAUUUGUGGCAUUUAGCAGUGUACUCCGGAUAUUAGCCUUGCUUCAAAAUCACAAUUAUAUUCAAAUUUUAAUUUUGUUUCCGUGCAGACUGAGAGCCAACAAAGAUUUGAUAAUAAAUUAAUUAUCGGUGAUAGAGCACUUGACAUGCGUGACAUUCUAAUAGUCCCACAUCGGAUGGAAAUGGUAUUUUAAUUGAAUAUAUAACAGAUCAUGAACACUAGUAAUAAUAACUGAGCUUAUUGUUUGGACCCAAUGAGUUUAUAAUUGCUAGUGGGCUGGGUCGUUACAUUUGGUAUCAAACCAAUAACCAGCCGAAAGUGUGAGCUGAGUCUCAGCUGAGUCAAGAUCCGAAUGACAGGUUAAGCCAAGGUCAGAAUGACAUGAUGACAAAUUAAGCUAGGGUCUGAAUAAUAAGGCUAGCGAGACAAGUUGCUUGGUUAUCUUAGGCUAAGUCUAGCAAGACAAAUCAAGACAAGUCGCCUAGUUAUUUUGGGCUUUGUGUUUGACAUCAGAGCCUACAAGGGAGGUGGUUUUCUUGGACUUUGUGUCUGACAUCAGAGCCUAAACAGGAGGUGGUUAUCUUGGGCUAAGGCUAGCUAGACAAGUCACUUGGUUAUCUUGGGCUUUGUGUGUGACAUCAGAGCCUAAACAGGAGGUGGUUAUCUUGAGCUUUGUGUCUAGUAGUUAUCUUGGGCUAAGGCUAGCGAGACAAGUUGCCUGGUUAUCUUGGGCUCUUUGUGUGACAUCAGAGCCUAAACAAUUAGAGCCUAAAGGUUAUCUUGGACUAAGGCUAGCGAGACAAGUCGCUUGGUUAUCUUGGGCUCUGUGUGUGACAUCAGAGCCUAAACAAGAGGAGAUGCUUAGAAUUGUCACAAUAUCAAAUUUUUGGCAACCGUCAUUGGGUAUAUAAGAGAACUUUAUUCUAAUAAUAAUAACUGAAUUUAAGCAUUUUGACACAGUGGUUUGGUCUCAACGAAUUAUUAUUGCUAGCUGGUCGGGUCGUUAUAUUUCGUUGUCAUUGAACAUAUAAGAGAACUCUAUCCUAAUAAUAAUAAUAGCUAGGCUUAAACAUUUUGACCGAGUGGUUUGGGCCCAACAAAUUAUUAUUGUUAGCAGGCCGGGUCGUUACAUUUGGUACCAAAGAUAGUUCACCAGCCGGAAGUGUGAGAUGAGUCUUGACUGAGUCACGGUCGGAAUGACAGACUAACCCAGAGUUAGUGAUUGACAGGCUAAGUCAUGGUCGGAAUGCAAAGGCUAAUAGAGUUGUCAUUGGGUAUAUAAGAAAACUCCACCCUAAUAAUAAUAAUUAGAUUUAAGCAUUUUGGGUCAGUGGUUUGGACCCAACGAAUUAUUAUUGCUAGCGGGUCGGAUCAUUCACUAUUUUGGAUGGCGAUGAGUUAUUAUUGCUAGCGGGUCGAAUCAUUCACUAUUUUGGAUGGUGUCAACUCUUGGAUAGAUCAAACUGUUAACUAGGGUAAACUUCAAAUACCACCCUUGUGGUUUCGCACUUUCUCACUUUAAUACCCUGUGGUUUAAAGAGUAUCAAUUUUGUGCCCUGUGGUUUUAUUUCUCUCUUUUCGUCAGAUUCUUUGUUAAUAUUUCUUUAAAUUAUAUACAAACAACUUCAGAUACCCACCUUGGUUUAUCGAAUACUCACUUUAGUACCAUUUAGUUUUAACUUUGUCACUGAUUUAAGGAAAAAAAAAUUAGUGGAACUUAUAAUAAAAAGAGAAAAAUGAAACCACAUGACACUAAAUUAAUACACUUUAAACCAUAAGGUACUAAAGUGAGAAAGUGCGAAACCACAGGGGUGGUAUUUGAAGUUUUUCCUAUUAACUAUAAUUGAAAAAAUAUGUUAUAUAUGACAAAACUAAGGCAUAUUUCAGGAACAAUUUUGCUUUUCAUGGAUAGGGUUUCUUACGGUUUAUGUGUUUGAGUGGGCUGGUAUGCUUAUGGAAGCACGGAGCCCUCUGUGCUUCCAAGUUGUUUUCAAUAUUCGGACUUUCGAAUCGAUGAUCGGCUCCGUUAGAGCUGAUCUAGGUAUUUGAAGUACCCAGAAAAUAAAUUUUGUGAUUUUUCGAUAUCAUUUGCCUAGUGAUUGAAGGGGUUCAAAAUCAAUAAUUUUAAUAGCCGUGGUGAGCUGGUUGCAAGUUUAACGGUGUAGAAAUAUCCAAAUCACAUGAAAUUUUGAUAAAAAAUUCUUUAUACCAUAUAAAACAAGAUCAAUAACUUUGAUCUAAAAUUUUAAUGUCAUAUCAUCAUAUUUUGUAAGAUUUUUAUUUUAAGCCGUUGAUUUUGAGUGACUUCGAUCACUAGGCCAAUAAUAUCGAAAAAUCGCAAAAUUUAUUUUCUAGAUACUUCAAAUACUCUAGAUCAAUUCUAAUGGAGCCGAUCGUCGAUUCGAAAGUCCGAACAUCGAAAACAAAGUGGAAACAUGGAGCCCUUCGUACUUCCAUAAGCAUUCUAGCCACACUCUGUGUUUUAACUCUUUCGCAUUUGUGGACAUAACUUUGUUCUGCAGCAAUCCUGGUUUUUGGCUAAUCCUGGCUUUUGGCUUUCGACAAUCAUGUGAUACUAGAUUAUUCUGUCAAUUCUUCUAAAUCUUACUUGUUCCCUCAUAUAUUAGUAACUCCAAAAGCAUCAUCCAUCCUUUUCUAAGGAUAUGAAUAUUCCUCUCGCACUAUUUAUAUAUAUACAUAGAGAGAAAGAAAAAGAGUCCUGCUACUAUACUCUUCUGAGUAAGAUCGUCUUCGUACUCAUAAGUUGUUUUCGAUAAUAGAGGCUUCCAAAUUGAUCAUCCAUACAGUUAAAUAUGAUUUAAAGCAUUUGAAACUUCUAGAAACCAAAUUUUAUUUUUUUUCGGCAGUAUUUACCUUGCGAUCAAAAUAUCUCAAAAUUGACAAUUUUUAACAGUGGUGUGGGAUGCUUAUUAGUUUAACAGUGUCAAAGAAUUGGAAUUGUUUGAAUUUUUAAUAGAAAAUUCUAUUCACGAUCUAGAUAAAGAUUAAUAACUCUCAUUUUAAAUUAAAAAAAUCCAAUCCUCUAAUUUUAGGAGUUGGUUUGAUUUUGACCAUUCAUUUCAUGCCUGCUGGAUGGACUUCGUUAUAAUUUUAAAAAAUUACAAGAUUUGUUUUCUUAAAGUUUCAAUGCUCUAGAUUAUAUUUAAUGGUAUGGAUUGUCAAUUCAAAAGCUUUAUUAUCGAAAAUAACUUAUGAGUAUGAAGGCCUCCGUAUUCGACUAUAGUAGUCUCUCUCACUNCUCUCUCUCUCUCUCUCUCUCUCUCUCUCUCUCUCUCUCUCUCUCUCUCUCUCUCUAUAUAUAUAUAUAUGCAUUAGUCUAAUACUAGUUAAGGGACCCCGCGCGAUGCUGCGGGAAAUUAUUAUAAUUAUUAAUAUUAUUUUUUUCUACUAUGUAUUAAUAUUUUUAAAUAUUAUUUAUCUCAGUAUUGAAUAAUUAAAAAUUAAAGAAUAAAUUAAAAAUGAAAUUAAAGAAUAUUUCUUUCUAAAAAUAUUUAAACCUAAUAAGUAAAAUGAAAAAAUCAGUUUAAAAUAAAACAGAAGCUCAUUACAGUAUUAAGAAAGAUAAAUAAUAUUUUUCUAUUAUCAUCAAGGUAGAAUUUACAAAAAAAAAUUAAAAAUAUUAAGUGGAGUGAAAGUACUAUCUUUGGUAUUCUUAGCAGCAACGUUUUCAUUGUGCCCUCAUUAAUUUUUAUCAUUAUACAUACAACUAAUAAAGUAUUUGAUUCCUAAAUUUUAAUUAAUUAAAUUAGUGAAGAAAUUAAUCAGUAGGUAAUAAUCAGAAGCAAAAAAAAUAAGACUAAGCAAAAGGCCUUCGAAAUCAAAAUAUAUAAAAAGAUUUAACUAUCAAAUAUUAUAUUAUUAUAUAAAUUAAUUUUUAAAAAAUUGUUUGGAAACUAAAAUGAAAAAUAUGCAAAGUUUAGAGAUUAAGGACCAAAAUAAAAAAGCGUGAAAAGAUUGGAGCCCAAUGUGCAAUUAAUCCUUUAAAAAAUUAAUGUGGGUCCCACAACACCCCAAAAUAAGGACAAGUCUUUUUUAAAUUUCAAAUUAAUGUAUUUAUAAAUUAUAAAUAAAUAAAUAAAUAAAUAUUGUGUGAGAGUAUGUGAGAGAGUGAGGGAGAGAGAAAAAAAAAAAGAGGACCUAUAGCCCCCCAAACCCAGGGAGGCCUCUAUAGGGUUCCAAAUUCAUAAGUAUAUAAAUUGGUGUCUGUAUCAGAAAAUAGAAAAGAAAUUAGUAUUUAUAGAGGAAUUAUCUUAGUGAGAAAGCGUCCUAUUCAAGAUGUAUGCUAAAAAUUGAUUGAUCCAUCAUGUACCAUCCAACAUAAUUUCUUGCAGAAAAGCAUCAAUUCUAUUAGGUUAUGACGCCACAGCCGCCAUAUCUUAUUUCCUGCAAAUUAAUUUGGGUAUGCACAUGCCAUAGUUCGUGAAUAUAAGAUGAUGGAUGAAACUUGUGUGCAGGGAGUGCACUGGGGAUGAAGAAUUGGCUUCGCGUCACUUUCGCCAUCAAUCCAUCUUCUCUCGAAGAUGGUCUUGACAGGCUUAAAUCCUUCUGCCAGAGGCAUGCAAAGAAGAGCAACUGAGUGACUAAUAAUAUCGCCGAACAACCUACAUAUGGAUGCUUGCGAUCUACAACUCCGUGUUGAAUCGCAAAUCCUCUCAGGAUCUAUUGCAGUAAACUUGUACUUUGAUGUAGUUGUGUAAAAUAAAUAAAAACCGUCUACCAGAGGUGCGCAAUUAAAGAUGAGCAGCUGGCUGAACUAUAAUAAGGAUGAGAUCUACAACUCCGGCGUUGAGUCUCAAACUCUCUAAGGUUAUUUGUUGUUUCAUGUAGUUUGAAGCAGUUGUGUACAGUGAACAAAACCAUUGCGGUAUGUUGUUGUUACCAGUGGGUUGAAGCAGUUACAUAAAAUAAACAAAACUGUGGCAUUUUAGCAUAUGAAUGGUGUUUGUUCUUUCUCAAGAGACUGUAAAUCUAUUAUAACGUAUCGAAACCCCGAUAGUGAUUAUCGAACUUUAGCCAAAAUGGAUUAAAGUGCCGAGAAAAAUGGAUGGACAAACUCCAGUUGACAUUCUAACAAUGUUGGAAGGGUCAAAGUCGAGUCCCAAGAGUGUUAAGCAAGUUUUAGCAUUGCUUGGCGCGAUUUAAAAGUGAAUAAUGCGAAAGAAAUAGAUGAACAAGCUCCAAUUAGCAUUCCAACGAGGUUGGAAGGGCUAAAAAUGAGUUUAAGAGGUGUUAGAAAGGUUUUAGUAUCGAACGACGUGAAACAGAAUCGAAAACAGCGCAAAAUUGCAUUCUGGAGCAAAGUGUACCGGUACAACCAUCGAGUUGUCACCGGUACAGCAUUGCAGGCCGAGAAGGAGAAACUCUCGGGUUUCAGAAAUUUUGCCUGUGUUACCGGUGACAGCUACAGUGUACCGGUACACUUUGGAAAGACCUGCGAGAAUUGCUCUCGGGUUUGCCUCUGCGUAAUCGUGUUACCGGCGACAGCUACAGUGUACCGGUACACUUUGGGUCUGGCAGCACAAUAAAAACUGCUGCAAAUACAAGUGUUUGGAGGGCUUUUUGGCUAUUGUUACAACAUGUAAUAUACCCCAACACCCCUCCCACCUGUUCUAAGAAGCAACCACUCCCUCCUCUCUCAUUUUUCUCUUUCUCUCUCUAGAAAUCCUCUCUAAAGGCAAGGGAGGAGCUAAGGAGAAUGCUUGGAAAAGGUGAUCUUGGAGGAUUAGAAGAUCAAGAAGCUCUCCUACAAGGUGAAGUUGGAGGAGCUUAGGGCUAAGGUGAGUCUAUUGCAAGAACUCUUCUAGAGUUUGAAUUUUCACCCUAAGAUUUAGUGUUUUGGACUUGUAGCAAGUUUAGAAACGUCGAACAAGCCAAGAACUCCAUGAAAACCCAUGGAAGCUCAAGGUGCUUUCAUGGUGAUCACCUAGGGGUUGUGUUAGAUGCCCUAGGUGUUGGCUUAAAUGGGCCAGUAUCCUGCCCUGUGGCGGGAGGCCAUGUGGGCCAAGUCAUGUUCGAAAUGGCGUGAGGCUGGGUUGGGCCGAGUCAUGUUCGAAGUGGCAUGAGGCCAGGUGGGUCGAGUCACAAUCGAGACCCAUGGGCGCUGUUUCUGUACGCUUUAAGUGAAUUGGUUGCGUAUUUCUAAUAGCUCGAGCUUUUGGGAUUAAUGGUUAGCACCAACGAUCCGACACUAGGGUUGGUCCAAAUGACUUAGUAAUGGUAUUAGAGAGCUUCUUAGAUGAUUCUAAGCUAGCAAUUGCUUAGGGAUGAGAUCAAUCUAGGAGAAAACCAAAUAUGACAUUAUUAGGGCACCCAAUUUGGGGCUUUUGCCUUCGACCGUUUUCGAGGCAAAUUGACAUUGCGAAAACAUAAUUGGGGGUACUCCCGACGCGUGGGACAACUCCGUUUGACAUUACGAAAAAGGUUUAGAUAAAGUUAUUGAGUAAAAGCCUAAUUUGGUUUCAUUUUGCCGCAGGCGAUAAAGUAGGGUUUCAAAAAUUCCAAGAUUUGAAUCGUAGCAUCCUCUCAACUAUUUAAGGUGGGUGGUGCAAUCCGAGGACCUCGAAAUUUCUUUUAUAUCUAAAGUGUCAUAUUUGAGCAUAUGUGUAUUGAGCAUGAAAUUGCAUAGUAGGAUUAUAUGUGAGCAUAUCAUUGCAUGUUGUGAGUACAAAUGCAUGUGGAUUACUAGCAAGAUUGUGAGAAUUUUAUAAACCCUAUUUAUGCAUGACAAAUGACAAAAACUUAGUGAACUUAGUAAACAAAUGUGACAUCUUGACAUAGAAAUAGAAAGUGACAAUAAUGAGUCGAGAAUGCUAGAGUUGGAACACUUAGAAAAUAGGUGUGGCAUGUGUACAAGAACAUAGUAGUGUAUAUGACACUAGUGAAAGUAAAGAAUGCAAGUAAAAGUGUGAUAGCGACAUUAUGACAUAACAAACUUAGAGUUAAGGUUCAUAUGUGCAUUGUUUCCUUAUACUUAAGGAAUGGAUUGAACUUGACAUCCUUAUAGUUAAGGAUUGGAUCAUACCCAUCUGUAAGUCCUUCCUCGAGUGUGGUAGCUCCCCCUCGGGCGAUGUGCUCCGGAGUUAUCAUCACUGGGUGUAGUAGCCUCCCCAGAGGACUGUCCCGUCGGGUGUAGUAGCAUCCCUAAUACUGGAAUUUGAGUUGGUGAGUUGUUGAGGGCAAAACCUAUGGGUUAGCCAAGAGAUUGAGCAACGAGAUUGUGACCUUGCAUUCAUCAUGAGCAUAUUAUUGAGCAUUGCAUUAUUUAUUGUUCAGGCAUAUUAGCUGCAUUUGUAUAGUUCGGUUACUAUUUAUAUCUCUUUUCUUCUAUUAUGCAUGAUUUAGACCUAGUGGGAAAGUCGGCGUGGUCGGUUGCCGAACCCACUGGGAACUUUGUUGUAGUUCUCACCCUACUAUUUCCACAGAGCCGGGAUCGAGCGAGCUGGCGGACGAUCGCGGUAAGGGCAUCGUGCCCUAGAUAGAGACCACCCGAGUUGGUUUCACAUUUUGGUUUAGUUGCAUACCCUUUAGUUAUCAUCUUUUGUAUUUCGAUGAUUUUAGUAUUAUAAAUAUGUUAAAAUGAAUGAUGUAUAGGAUACUUUAUAUUUCAAUGCAAAACUUAUAUUUUGAGAUCAUGUGAUGUAAAGAGAAGAAAUGAUGCAAAAAUGUAGAUAAUUUUCUAAGUGUAGUUUAUUACUUUCACUAUUGGCUAUUGCUUGCCCUCGUGCAAGUCAUUGUGUUUGCUUCUAUAUGUGCAAAAUUUUACCCUAUUGAUACUUGUUGUUGAGCCUUGGGCGGACAGGGUAGGCUCUAUUCGUUCGGCGUCUGUUCGACACGCUCGAACCGGCGAAAAGAAUCGGGCUCGGGGCGUGACAUCUAUUCUAGCUGAAAUUAAUCAUUCUUGUUUUAUUAAACUUUCCGUCACUCUCGUGGAUUAACACUUCUAAAGCUUCUGUUAAAUAUAAAAAUGUUUAAACACCAUUAUCUAACAGCUUAAACUUUUAGAGUAUAACGGUUGUUUCAUAUGAUAUUAGAGCAGGAGGUCCUGAGUUCGAGUCACGCCAGGCUCCUAACAUAUUAAUUUCCUCCCAUUUAAUUCAAGCCCACGUCAUGAGCCGAUUAAAAUGUCUCGAGCCCAGAUGUGAGGGGGAGUGUUAAAUAUAAAAAUGUUUAAACACCGUUAUCUAACAGUUUAAGCUUUUAGAGUACAACGGUUGUUUCACAGCUUCAAUCUGCAGAAUCAGGCCUUUUUUAUUGAUAGAGGCUUUAAUCUUCGUCUUGAAUUUCAGUUUACCUUUUUUUACUUUUUUAUUUUUUCCUUUUUGAUGCUUAUAGGUUACAUGCGCACACUCUUUUCUACAUAGAGCGAGAUUUGUUCUCAGGAUUUUAACUCCCAAGGAAGAAGGUAUACCAAUCCCAACUACUCUAAAAUGGGGAGAAGGGUUUUUUUGUUUAUUUGGGAACAGCUAGUUAUAUAUGACAUAUUAUACAGGACAUAUUCUAAACUAAUUCUUGAUGUUCUAUAUGUGAGAUAACAUAUGGUCUAAUUCUGGGCAAUAUCACAAUUUUAUAUUGAAACAAUGUCUUUUUGAAAAUCUUUUUGAUUUUGCACUUACGUGCAAUUUAGAGAUUUAUGAUUCGAAGUUGUUAUUCCAUUCAGAAUAUUUAUGACAUAACUGUGGCUGAGUACACUCUCUUCUAAUGUGGUAAUUAAGCCAUAGUGUUUAAAUAAUUUGUAACCUUUUAUUUUCUUUAGAGAGUGAACGGUUGAAUUAAAAGUGUAAGAUGAAUGAACGGCAAAUGGGGUUUGUUAUUUGCUGAUGCACAGAAGCACAAGGUGUUGGAAAAUCUUUCUGAUCUUUUAUUAUAAUAUUUUUUUUAAAAUCAAUUCAAAUUUAAUUACAGGUUUAGGAAAAUUCUGAAACAAAAUUAAAUAACAAAUAUGGUAAAGAAAAGGUUUAGAUAAGGCCUGUGAAUCGAGGCGUGCAGAACACUAUCCUAGAAGCGAAAUUGCUCCUCUACGUGCGAGGCUUCCCAGCAAUUACUCCUAGCGGUAUAAUGACCACGUUCCAUCCCGUCGGCACGCUUCCAAGGUGGCGCAAGAUGAACCCAACCAGCUUCAGAUCCAGCAAAAGAAAAUUCGGCGAAAAUCCAGAAAGCAGAAAAAGACGAGAGGCUUUAGGUAUGUUCGGGUUAUUAUUAAUUAACUCGUGCAACCUCGCUCCAUAUUUAUAAUCUAGGCGAGAAUCUUGUUUCAACGCGUCAAAUCUGUGUAGAACAAAAUAAGCCUAAAAUUAUACGGAUAAAUAUUAGGAUUAGACUUAGAAAAAAGAUAAAACUGAAAAAUAAAAAUAAAAUAAAAUAAACCGGAUGUAUGAACCACGUGCGCUGCCCGCCCAGCCUGGCUCGGCUCGUGCCGUGUUUGCGUGUAUUUAAACGAGAGUAUAACUCUCAUUUUCUUCUAAGCAACUAGCUAUAGAAUAAAGCAAUAUAUAAAAACAACAAACACUCUUUUGGUUUCCAAUAUAAGACUAAACAUCUCACAUGAAAAUUUUAGUUGGGCUCCUAAGGAGCUCAUUAACAAUUAUUGGACUCUCAAGAGGUUUUAAUAAGUUUUAAAUCAUAAAACCCAAUAAAAUCCAAUAAAAGGUGGAGGACACUCAAAAAUUUUUUUCUCUAUUAAAGGGGUGUUCAGAUGUUAAAUUUAAAGCUCGGGGACCAAAGUGAAACUUCGAGCCAAAAAAAAAAUUAAAGAGGCUACAAUUAUUGCAUUAUCUACCCAGAGAGUGAAAUUUCAUAGUGUUCCGUGAUUGCAUGGUUCUACAUGCAAUUCAGUGCUUGCUGAGGAACACGAGAAACAUGCUAAGUUCCAAGUACUUUUGAUCUCUCUACUCUCACCAUCUCAUUUUAUUACUACACUACACAGAAACAGUGUCUCCUAUCAUCUGACUCUAACAUUCCAAUGGUUUUCGCACUACUCAGUAAACCCAUUCUGUGCCCUUCAUUCCCCUCCUCAUCCCGACCGCCGCCUCCUCGGUUCCGAGUUUCAUUAUUCUCUUCGCCUUGUUCAUCAGUUUCAUCUCCAACAGAUAAAGGUUUCAUCAGCCUGCCUUCUGACAAAAGAACAGGAAAGUUUUGCUCUAGCUAAUUUUUUUCAGUUUUUUUUUUUCUCAAUCUUGAGCUAAUUAUGCUAAUCAUGUUUCUGAAAAUGCGGCAUAGUUUAUUCAACCAAGAAAUGAAUGUGUUUUGCAUUUAUUUCUGCAGCACUGGGAGAUGAUAGGGAGUCUGUCGAUAUCAGCAUUCCGGUCUACUCAUCGUCCGAGGUGAAUUCCCAACGAAACACUCUCAGAACUCUUUUCAGUGUUUUUGCAUCACCUUACAUCAAAGCAUAUUUCUCAAAUCAAUCAAUUGCGAUCUACUAGGAAGUAGAACUUUUCGAGUAGAACUUUUCGAGUUGAUGGUUUUACAUGUUACUAUUACACUACCGAUCGAUGAGCUCUUGAACAAUAUUCUUGCUUUCUCUAUCACGUAGAGUAAGUGGAUCAUAUGUUGAUUCUCGCUCAAAAAUCACAUCGGAUGAUUCUGCAAUUUUAUUCAAAGAAUACCGCUAGAUAAAUUGUUGAAGAGUAACAUAAGCGACAAGGUUGCUAUUAAAUGAUGACAUAUAUAAUGGGACUACAAAUUGUAAUUUUCGUACUGAUCGAUCAUAUAUACUCUUGUUUUAGUUCAUUCAUGUUGUGGUGUGUUCUCUAGGUGAUUGAUAAAUUGCAAGCAAAUUUUAGUCGGGAAGCCAAUCGCCAAUAUCAAGCAAUGUAUUCGAGUGUUUUCGGUGGAAUUACCCUCGAUCCGGCUUUAAUGGUGAUCCCACUGGAUGAUCACAUGGUUCAUAGAGGGCAUGGUGUUUUUGACACAGCAAUGCUCUUUAAUGGGUUAGUAGAUAUGAAUGAUUAUUUGCCGACAAAUUUCAUGAACUUAAUUCUAUUGUGAGAUACUAGAUUGCUGUAUAAUUAGUGGGGGUUUGCAGGUUGGAAAUUGAUAAUGGAAAUAAGAGCACUUUGUCACAUGAGAACGUGUUGUCUGCAUUUUCUAUUUUCUUGAGAAAAAAAAAAAAAGAACUUGGAACCAAGUGAAGUAUGCCUUACUGGGAUUUCUUAAGUUUCAAUGCUUUUCUCACUUGUACUUGCCUGUGUGGAACAUGCUUUUAGUUGUAAUGUAGUGAACAUGACAUAAGAGAGAAGCAUCCUAUGUGUACAACAAAAUUCGGAGAUUUUUGCAGGAACAUACACUCAAAGAACCCUAUGCCUUCAAAUUAUCAUCCUUGUAGAUGUCAACAUGUAUAUCUUCUUAAAACCAUGCAUGCUUCCUCUUUUUCCUCAGGUUACACCACUUUCAAUGCUUUGAUGUACUGUCACUCGAAUUACUGCUAAGUUUACCAGCUUUAAGUACUCAAAUCUCAAAUUUCAGCUUUAGGGGCAUAAUCUAUCAAGAAUUUAAUUGAGAAGCAGUCACAAUCAGAUCUUGUUAGAACAUGCAUGAAAACAAUGAUGACAUCGAACCAAAUCAUCGUGCAAGCUUGUCAAGGAGACUAUCAAAAGCUUGAUCAAUGAAUACUUAUCAUUUAUGGAUGUCGAUAUCAAAGGCGACGAGUUUCCCUUGCCCUAAUCAUAUUGAUUUUCUACAAAAUUUUUUGCAGGUACUUGUACGAUUUAGAUGCCCAUUUAGAUCGAUUCUUGGCUUCCGCGUCGAAAGCAAAAAUCUCUUCCCCUUUCACCAGCAGAACUCUCCGAAACAUACUUAUCCAGCUUGCAGCUGCAUCCAAGUGUAGAACAGGAUCACUCAGAUACUGGCUAAGUGCAGGCCCAGGAGACUUCUCUUUAUCACCUAAAAGAUGUUCACAACCCACAUUCUACGCAAUAGUAAUCAGCCAAACCUUCUCACAACACAAUGAAGGUGUGAGUAUCAUAACAUCCACAGUACCGAUAAAAUCUCCUUUAUUCGCAACAAUGAAGAGUGUGAACUAUCUCCCUAAUGUCCACUCCAAGAUGGAAGCAGAAGAGAGAGGGGCCUUCGCCUCUAUUUGGGUUGAUGAAAAAGGGUGCAUUGCUGAGGGCCCCAAUGCAAAUGUUGCAUUUAUAAGCAAGGAGAAAGAGCUCACACUUCCUUCACCUGAAAGAAUUCUUUUUGGGUGCACAGUUAAGAGAUUGAUAGUGUUGGCAAAUAAGCUGGUUGAGAGAGGUCUUUUGAGAAGUGUUGUAGUUAGAGAUGUAACAGUGGAGGAGGCCAAGGAUUCAGCUGAGAUGAUGUUUGUGAGCAGCUUGCUUCCUAUAUUGCCUAUCAUUGAAUGGGACAAUCAACCAAUUGGGGAUGGUAAUUAAGUUUCGAGGCGAAAAAACCAAAAAAAUUCUAUCAGAUAGGCCUCGCUAAGACAUGCCAGUUAAUUAUCACCGUCAGAUAUCACUUAAUUGGAAUCUCAGACAGUUUUAGUGAUAUCCGACUUUGAUGAUUGCUGCAUCUGAGUGAUACAUACUAGCUAGAUAGAAUUUCUCUUCUUUUUUUUUUUUUGCAAUUUAUUUUUGAAAAUUUAGGGACAAUUUUUAGUUAUAUGAAUAAAGGAGAACAAACUAACUACAUUUGUUUCUUUGAUAGGGAUGGUAGGUGAAAUAACACGUGCGAUCUCCGCUCUCUUCUGGGAGGACAUUGCUUCAGGACCGUCGACGCGAAGGAUCCGCAUUCCGUACAAGAAUUUGUAGCAUUAAGUGAUCGGAGUAAUAAGUACCCUCACGGCUAUUUGAGGUAGAAAUUGCGACUUAGAUCAUUCUUCCAGAAUGUUGAGACACCAUAAGUUGAAUAUCAAGUACUCUUAAGUGUGAUAAAGCUUAUAUGAUAAAGCUAAUCGUGGUUGCAAAGAGUAUAAAUGCACUUUCUAAUUGUCUCCAAUUGAAGCCUUGCAAGUAUAGUCACAAAAUUUUCUAACAAUAAUAAUCUAGACUAGUUUGUUAUUACUUGGAGGGUUGGGGGGCCUGGAUCGGAAGUUCGAACCCCAUUAAAGAAAUUCAAAAUUAAACUCCCAACUUCUCUAUAUAACAGUAAAGGGCCUACAAGCAACUUGAUGGGAAAACAAAAAAGCACAAUAUUCUCCAAGUUCUUGAAAAAUCCAUUAAUAAAUUAUGGACUUUCUCUUAUUAGUUGAAUAAUAACUAUUGGGUAACAUGUACCAUAUUAGUCCGUUUCAGUUUCAUUCUUAAACUUUAAAAAAUGAUAUUUAAGGUCCAAAGUUUUUUUUUGUUUUUUUUUUUUGAGAGAGAGAUAGAUAGCAUACUACCCGCUUCGUCUAUUUUUUUUUUAGAAAUAAAGUUAGCUGAAAAUAACCGACUAUUCCUAGAGCAAGUGGUAAAGGGCUUGGUAGUUGGUACCCAAGACCCAAGUUAGAAUCCUAGUUGAUUCACAGCUAAGUUUAUUUCUAAAUAAAAUAAACGAAGUGGAUAGCGUGCUACCUAUCUCUCAAAAAAAAAAAAAAAAGUUAGCUGAAAAUAUGAAUCAAUUAGGAUUUAAACUUAGGACAUUGGGUACCAAUCACCAAGCCCUUUGCCACUUGCGCUAGGACGGUCGGUUAAGGUCCUAAGUUUUUAGUAGUGUUUCAUGUUAGUUGUUAAACAUUCACGUGUAUGUUAGUUUAGUCAUUACCUUGAAGUAAAUAAAAGUUAUUGUUUGUACUUCACCUGCAUGUUUGUAAACAAUAAAUCUAUUAGUACUAGUGUAGCACCCGCACUUUACGGCUUGUAAAUAAUAUUUCAGUCAGUAAGAUAUAUAAAACUAAAAUAUAUAGUUAUUAAAGUUUUAAGAAUAAAAAUUAUAUCAAAAGAAAUACAAAAGAAAAGAAAAAUAUCUACAAAAUAAUCUUAUGUACAUUAUAAAAAAUAAUUUUUUAUUACUAUUUUAUCUACUUUUAAUAUUUAUAGAGUUAAACUGUUCUUAUAAAUUUUUUAAAAAAUUAAUCAAAUUUAUAGUUUUGAUAGCUAUUCUAUAUAUAAAAAAAAACUAAAAAUUUAAAGUUGGAGGAAUUAUUUCAAAUUAAAGAUUAGGUGGUGGUGUCUUUAUCUUGUUAAAAUUGAUUGGAGGAGUUAUUUUACACACAGCAACUGACUAAUGUUCCAAUAUCAAAAAUUAAUUAAAUAUAACUGAUUUAUAAAAUCUAAUAAUUUAAAUUAUAUUUAAUGAUUUAAUUUUAAAAUCUCUAUUAAAGAAUAUUGCUUACGCCGUGUAUGUACAUAAAUACACUUGGUGCAAUGAAUGCUUAGUACAGUGCACAUAUAAUUCUAAAAAUAAAAAAGAGGAGAAAUCUUUGCUUGCACCUUCUGCAUACUAAUUUUUCACACACCUUACCGAAUAUUAUAUGAUUGAUGGAGUGUUUGAUAAUUAAUACUGUAAAAUAAAAUAUAAUAUAGUAAAAAUAUUUAAAUAAUUUAUUAUUCGAUCGUUGUUUUAUUUUUUAUAUAUAUUUUAGAGUAGGUUUACUGUACAAUGGGCACAUCCAAAUUUUUAGUAGGCAUGUGUCAAUCCCCCAUUGGUUAAUGACAUAAUGGACAAUAGAGUUUUAUCAUUUCCAAAUAGAGGAGAAAUCUUUGCUUGCACCUGGAGCAUAAUUUGCUUGCACCUUCUGCAUACUAAUUUUUCACACACCUUACCGAAUAUUAUAUGAUUGAUGGAGUGUUUGAUGAUUAAUACUGUAAAAUAAAAUAUAAUAUAGUAAAAAUAUUUAAAUAAUUUAUUAUUCCAUCGUUGUUUUAUUUUUUAUAUACAUUUUAGAGUAGGUUUACCAUACAAUGGGCACAUCCAAAUUUUUAGUAGGCAUGUGUCAAUCCCCCAUUGGUUAAUGACAUAAUGGGCAAUAAAGUUUUAUCAUUUCCAAAUAGAGGAGAAAUCUUUGCUUGCACCUGGUGCAUACUAAUUUUUCAUACACCUUACCAAAUAUUAUAUGAUUGAUGGAGUAUUUAAUGAUUAAUACUGUAAAAUAAAAUAUGAUAUAAUAAAAAAUAUUUAAAUAAUUUAUUAUUCCAUCAUUGUUUUAUUUUUUAUAUAUAUAUUUUAGAGUAAGUUUACCAUGCAAUAGGCAUAUCCAAAUUUUUAGUAGGCAUGUGGCCAAUUCUCCAUUAGUUAAUGACUUAAUGGGUAAUUUAGUUUUAUCAUUUUCAAAAUAAAAGCGAAAUCUUUGCUUGCACCUAGUGCAUACUAAUUUUUUCAUACACCUUACAGAAUAUUAUUUAAUUGAUAGAGUAUUUGGUGAUCAGUACUGUAAAAUAAAAUAUAAUAUAUAUGUAAUAUGAAAUAUUUAAAUAAUUUAUUAUACUCUUGAAAUUUUAUAUUCGAUGCAUAUUUUAGAAUAGGUUUAUGAUGCAAUGGGCACAUAAAAUUUUUUUAGUAUGCAUGUAACACUCUCUCAUAGGUUAAUGACUUAAUGGGUAAUGUGGCUUUACGACAAAUUGAUUUUGGUAAUGUGACCUAACCACCAAUUCAUAUACUUUCUAGAUUUAUAGAUUAUAGAUAUUUUAUAGAUAGAUAGAUUUAUAGAUUAGUCCUCAAUCCUCUCAUAUAUAGUUUCAACUAAAUAGUUUGACUAGUAAAUUGAAAAAAAAUUAUAACUUAAUGGAUGGGAGGUUAAGAAAUAUAACGAGGAAUAUAGGAUUGUUAAAUGCAUAAUACACAUCUGAAUGUAGCUAAUGAUUAAAUUUAUAUUGAGAACUAAAAUGAAACACUUUUAAAAAUAUCUAGUCUGUAAUAAGAAAGUUAAGCUCGAAUGCCAAAAUAAAACUUCCAUGAAAAGUUCUUGUAGUUAUCUAGGAAUCCUCUCCAUUGGUAAAAAAUUUAGCAAGGAGCUUCGUACAGACUUUACUAUAAGGGUGCGUUUGGUUCGCGCUAUCUUUUAAGAUUCCUAGUAAUUCAAUGGGAAUAAAAAAAUAUGACGGUGUUUGGCUAAACGCACUAAGUAAUCUAGUUGAUAAUAUUAGAUUCACUUGAGAAUAAGAUUCACCCCAAAGUACUAAUCUCAUUCCCUUGAGUGGGCUGGGAGGGGGCUGGGUAUCCUCAUAUUAAUGAAUUGGGGUAAUCAUAAUAUGUCUAAUCUCUUUCUUUCUUCCUACCCGCCGGCUAAUUGAUAUUAUUUUUCUUUACACUCUAACCUUAUAUCUCUCUCUAAACUUAUUUUUCUCUCUAAAAUUCAACUUUUUUUUCUCUCUCUAAACUAAGCUUUCUCUCUCUCUCUCUCUCUUUCUAAAAUUUCAACUCUCUCACUCCCUCUAAUUUCGACUAUAUUUUUCUUUCUAUUUUUUUAAUUAUGCUCUCUCUCUCUAACUUAUACUCUCUCUUUUUUCUAAAAAGAUGUUGAAACUUUUGGUAACAUUAUUUAAAAUUAAAUAAAUUAAUUAAUUAAUUAAUUGUAUAUUUUUUGUGAUAUUAAAAACAUGGCUAAUUAAUAUUACCGUGUGAACCAAACACAGAAAUUCCGCAUUCUUAGUAAUAGAAUAAAUAGAAAUAAGAUUCUCGGAUAUCUUUUAUUCCUAGUAAUCUUUCAUAAUGCGAACCAAACG
rnacentral:lncRNA from 1 species